rnacentral:rRNA from 14 species
AAGUAGAUAAGGGCGCACGGGGGAUGCCUUGGCUCUCAGAGACGAUGAAGGACGUGUUAAGCUGCGAAAAGCUACGGGGAGUUGCACAAAAGCUUUGAUCCGUAGAUAUCCGAAUGGGGCAACCCGCUAGUUUGAAGAACUAGCACCGAAAGGAGUGAACCCGGGGAACUGAAACAUCUAA